ensembl:lncRNA
GAGGCAGAGAAGAGGAGGGAGGUGCAGAAUCAGGGACAAGUUCGCUUUUAUAUUUAUUUAUUUUUCGGGGGGGGAAAAAAAACGAGAAGUUUGAAGAGGGCAGCAGAGGGGAGGAGAGAAGGAGGGAGAGAGAGAGAGAGAGAGAGAGAGAGAGAGAGAAUGGGGAAGGAGGAGAACGACUAGAAGAGAGGCGCAGAGAGACGGACGGAUGGAGGAGAAGCGUGCAGCGGCGAGCAGGAGAAACAAAGCGUGCUGACUGAGGACGUGUGCGCGGGCCAUGUGCUCAGGAGCUCCACACUCGAGGAAGCUGGCUGCAGGUCGGGCGUUUUUUUUCACCACGAGUCCGACCGAAUGCAGGUUGGCCCGAUUCAUCACAGCUCAUCCCAGAGACGCCGCCGCACCACCAGAGACGCCAGCGUCCUCCUAAGGCGGACCCCCCCCCGCCCCCUCCUGCCGAGGAGAACCGGCCGGCCUUUGGCGGUUCACGGCUGCGUGGCUCCUGCCGGUUGCUCAGUAGGCAGUGUAGAUCCUGUGUAGCAAUCAGCAGCUACAUCUGGCUACUGGGUCUCCGGCGGCUCGGCCCACUUCCCCGGUUCCCAUUGGCCCGGUGGCACAUUCCAAUCCCCUCGAUUGGCUGCGGGGUCGGGGAGGAUGAGGGCGUGGAGGGGGGGGGCUUCAUCCUGCGACCCCACAGACAGGAUGUUCUCUGUGUCACAACUCUACAAGGGGCCCUUGUCGAGGCUUUUUGUGUCGCUGUGGUGUUGUGUGUGUGUUUUUUUUUUUAACUCCUUCCUCUAUCGCCAUUCUUUUAAUUCUCUCCCUCCCUCCCGCUCGCUUUCUCUCCCGUUUGCUCUCCCUUCGUGCUCUUUGUGCACGAACAUUGGUGCAUGUCCUUGGUAAACGCUAUGAAAGUUCAACUUUCAAUGUUCCCGGGGACAGAAAUUUCAAGGGGCGAUUCUUGCCGGAGGAGAGUUUGAAAAGCCUCGGCGGUGAAGAGGUGCUCCUUUGCUCCGUCCUGAACCUGGCAUACAAUGUAGAUUUCUGUGUGGUUAAAUUCAACAGCUACAUUGUCUGCUGGGUUUCUGGCCAGUAACAUAAGCGGCGUUUAUGUAACUUCCGCACAAAAAAAAAAGGUAAGUAUUGAUUUGGUUUUUUUUCUGUCAAUGUGCCGCGAAUGCCCGACCCUGACAAUUCAAUAAAGAGGAAAUAUUUCUGAUUAAUCCUACUGAGUGGUGCGUGCUGUCAUUUGUCGGACUGAAAAUCAGAUUUGAAGAGAAGGAAAUAAACCUGGAAUCUGCAGAAUCUAAAUUGAUUCAGCGUUGCUGCGGCGUCCCAGGAGUUAACCCCGAGCCAGAGAUGCCAGGAAUAUUCCAGUAGCUCAGCACAAAGCCGGCUCGUUGUCUGUCAGGAGGCUGUCAGACGGCUGUCAGAUGGGCUCCUUAUUAGUGGAACACCAGUGUCUUCCAACACACACACACACACACACACACACACCUGGGAUUAUACCAAACUCUUCACACAAACCAACAAUGCUUUUGGAAUGCAUUCAUACCUCGGUGCGCUCCUGUGAAACUUUCUUUCACCUUCCACGAAGCCCCGUAGAGCCGAAAAUGAACUUUUACAUCUGCAUGUUUGUUUUCAUUGAAUUGUGAACACACUCACAUUUAAAAAUGUAAUUUGGCGAGUCUCAUUCAGCUCAUUUCUGGUGGUUCUCUCUCUUUCCUCAGCUCAGUAUGCGUUAAAUAUGACACAUUAAGAAGACUUUAUGUAGUGUUUAUGUAGCAAUUCAUUCAUUUAUUUACUUUCCUUUCAGCACAUGUCUGAGUUUACUUUUCUGUAAUCUCAUUAAAAGCCUUUAAAUAAAGUAUCAAAGAAAGAAAA